rnacentral:rRNA from 1 species
AACGUAGGACACAAGCGUUAUCCGGAAUUACUGGGCGUAAAGGGCGUGCAGGCGGUUGGGUAAGUUAGGCGUGAAAGACUUCGGCUAAACCGGGGGAGGUCGUCUGAUACUGCGUAACUAGAGUGUGGUAGAGGCGUGUAGAAUUCCGGGUGUAGUGGUGAAAUGCGUAGAGAUCCGGAGGAAUACCAGUGGCGAAGGCGGCACGCUGGGCCAUAACUGACGCUAAGACUCGAAAGCAUGGGUAGCGAACGGG